GACGAACGCUGGCGGCGUGCUUAACACAUGCAAGUCGAGCGGUAAGGCCCUUUCGGGGUACGACGAGCGGCGAACGGGUGAGUAACACGUGGGUGACCUGCCCUCAGCUCUGGGAUAAGCCUGGGAAACCGGGUCUAAUACCGGAUAUGACUCCAUGACGCAUGUUGUGGGGUGGAAAGCCUUGUGCGGCUGAGGAUGGGCCCGCGGCCUAUCAGCUUGUUGGUGGGGUGAUGGCCUACCAAGGCGACGACGGUAGCCGGCC
rnacentral:rRNA from 1 species